rnacentral:siRNA from 1 species
UCCGUUGGCCAAUCCGGAGCCUA